CCCUUCCCAUGCAUCUGUCUCAGCGGGUAGGUAACCCAAUAAGAACCGAUUCCCUUGCAAAAAUCAAAAGAAAAUUCAUUCAACAAAACAUUAGAAUAUUCCAUCAACUUUUCAUGGCCACCAGUAGCAUCUCUAGGUAUUCUUUAUUUCAAUUAUAGAAAUAUCUCAAUAAUAGCAGUAAGCUAGGCAAACAGGCAUGGCAAACAAGAUUGCUUUUGAGUA
rnacentral:lncRNA from 1 species